rnacentral:lncRNA from 1 species
UGCUUUCUUAGGGGGGGAAAAAACACCAAAAUUGUGCUGAUUUGUAGUUUUCCCUUAAAUGGGCUGCAUAUGUUUGCACACAAGAUGUCAGUAAUGAAGGAGUCUACUAAAUUCACUUGGUGAAAUUCUAUCAGAGCUUGUGAAAAACAAAACAAACAAAAAACCAGCCCAUCAAGUAAAAAUGGCUUGAUUCAUGCAAAAGGAAGCACAGAUGGAGGUAAUGGGGUUUCAAAAGAGGAAUUAGAGAAGAUGCGAACAGAGGCUCAUAAAUCUGCAGCAGUUCAACUUUGCCAAGAACUUCAGUGGGAAAUCCUCAUUAUGGGAGGUAUUUCCACACCAUGUGCACCCACGACAGCUUUGCUGGGGCAGCCGUGGGGAAAGUAUUAUCUGGUGGUGACGGCAAGACCUGGCAAUCAGCAUUCCUGAAUCCUGUCGGACCGCGGCUGCUGACUCAUGCAGCGGCCUUGGGGAGAUGUGCGUUACCACGUGAUCACCCAGGGAAGCAGCUGAUGUCCCACCUGUGAGGUCUUACACCCCAAAAUGCCCUGUAAGGAACCACACUCCAUCCACGGGGGUAGAUGCCUCAAUGUAAGCCUCUUCCAGAAAGGAAGGAAGUUUCUCCAGCUCUACCCCAAUGGAUCCACUGAGAGUUCACAUUGCCUUCCGCUGCAGCAACCCCCACAAGGUGAUGAGAUGGCCACCCUUACUCCCCUGCACACAGCUCUGGCCCCCGCACUGCCCUCCCUCCUGUCAGCGGCUGCUCAAGCAGGCAUGCUAUGAACCACCAGCCUGGGGAUCUAAAAUAUGAAAUUUCAGCACUAAAAUUCAAAAUUCAUUUCCUUUCCUUGCUUUAUUAUGAGUAAGCCCCAGAUCACCGCACAGCUGUAUGAAUGCUGACACAAGGGAUGGGGUGUUAGGCGAAUGGGAAUGAAUGGCCAGAGACUGGGAGGCUCAAGCUGUCUCUUUCAGGGAUGCUCAGAGUGCUCGGGAAACUACAGCUCCCCUGGUCCCCUGCUUCUGUGAGCACAUCAAGCAGGAAGUAGUGUAACUCUGUCUGCAGGUCACAGGGAGCAGCACACUGGCCCUGCAGCUCUCUCCAGCUCCGUUCUGAGGAGCUGGAGCUGACUCGGAGUUCCUGAUGAUGGUACUUGGUUUGUCAUUAGGAAACACAGUCACUUGCUGCUCAAGGAAGGGGGGGACGGAUGGACACUAUGCAUGGGGCUCAAAUAAUCUUUCCGUGGAUUUUAAACCCAUUAUGGUUUUUGAUGGCCAUGCUACUUCAAAGAAUCAUUGAAUAUCCCAGCUUGGAACGGACCCAUGGGGACCAUUGAGUCCAACUCCUGUCCCUUCACAGAACCACACAAAAAAUCAGACCAUGUGACUAAGAACGUUUUCCAAAUGCUCCUUGAACUCCAGCAGUUUGGGGCCGUGCCCACCGCCCUCUAGUACAGACCCUUUCCCUAACCCCCAGCUGCCCCUCCCCUGACAGCUCCAUGCCGUUCCCUCGGGCCCUGUCGCUGUCACAGAGCAGAGCUCAGCGCUGCCCCUCCGCUCCCUGUGAGGAGCUGCAGCCGCCAUGAGGCCUCCCCUCAGCUCCUCUGCUCUGGGCUGAGCACACCCAGGAGCCUCAGCUGCUCUUCACAUGUCUUCCCUUUUAGAACCCACACCAUCUCUGUCUCCUUCAGGGGUGCUAGUUUAACUCUGUGAGGAAGAGCUAAAGAAGAUUGCUCAUCUUCCCAGUGGCUUUAGGUCCUCAUUUAACCUUUACGCUUUCUAAACUGGGCAAGCUCACCAUGCUGGUGAAGAGCAUGAUGAACAUGUGAACCAAGUGGUUUUGGCCACAGCCAAAGAGACUUCUUCCUGAAUAAAAGUGCCCUUUUAUCCCUCA